CUACUAGCCUCUACUAUUUACUUGCUGUCAUGGCUGCUUUCAUGCUACAGUGGCAUAGUUGAUUAUGAUCAGUUGUAACAGACCCUAUAGCUCACAAAGCAUAAAAUAAUUGCUAUCUGGCUCUUUACAGUAAAAAUGUUUUGCCAACUCCCAUUCUAAGCCAAAAAAGCAAGGUCCUAAAAAUAUGUCUUUGUUUCCCAUUCCCCAGUGUAUAGGUAUUCUGGUACAUGGCUGGCUAUUCCUUUGAUGCCCUUGAUAUGGCUUCAUAGCAUUCUUCCCCAAAUACCCCAGCCUUCCCUUGAUCAAUGGGUUAUGGGUCUAAGAACAGGCUAAGAUCUGGAAAGGAUGAGUGAUAGUGAUUUUUCAUUGAAGCAGCUGACAUCUCACCUAAUCUUGCUAUUUUAUGACUAAUACAGCCAAGCAACACCUUCGAUGGCUUCCCACCUGUCUUGUCCCUAUCUUGCCGUGGUCCACUAGCCAUCUUCACAGAUCCCUGUGGGGCCAGGCUCCUUGGUUUGCAUCCCUUGCCACCUGUGAUGUAACUACUGCUUUGCCUCUGACAGGUAAUUGGUGCCACUUGGUCUCUGCUGUUCCAGAAUCUCUCCAUUCACACAAGGGUUGUCUCCUGCCAUCAACCUUGGCCUGCAGGCUGCCACUGAGUUUCUUGGUGGAAGAAGUUCCCUCGGGCUGUGCCCCAGCUCGCUCUCGCUCUCCAGGAGGCCAUGGAACAGGAAAACGCACAUCCGCCGGAGGGCGGUGACCCAGCCUGCAUCUCCCAGCAAGCCAAGAAAGCACUUUGAAGAAAAUUGAGGAGUUCACACUUCUGGACAUGCAAACUCCAGCCCGUACUUGUGGGAGAACCCAGCACGCCUCAGACCGCUCUGACAGGUAGCUGGCCAGGAUACCCCAUACCCGCUGACUGAUGCUUCUCGGGAUGGUAAGUAAAUGCACAUAUUUUAAAACCUGGAGCCAGAUUUCAAAGGCACUGUGUAUGUGUUUUCACAAUUAAACUAAAAAAAAAAAAAUCAUCUACGUUUUAUGGAUCCCGGCAUAGCUAUUUUGAAGCAGGGAGGAAAGCCAGAUUUGUUGAAGUCAUUACCACAUUGAAACUUUAGAAGCUGCUUCCAGUCCUUCUCAGGAUGACGCUCGGUAUGA